rnacentral:rRNA from 1 species
UACGUAGGGGGCAAGCGUUGUCCGGAUUUAUUGGGCGUAAAGAGCGUGUAGGCGGCUAGGUAGGUCCGUUGUGAAAAACUCGAGGCUCAACCUCGAGACGCCGGUGGAAACCAUCUAGCUAGAGUCCGGAAGAGGAGAGUGGAAUUCCUGGUGUAGCGGUGAAAUGCGCAGAUAUCAGGAAGAACACCCGUGGCGAAGGCGGCUCUCUGGUACGUGACUGACGCUGAGACGCGAAAGCGUGGGAGCGAACAGG